rnacentral:misc_RNA from 1 species
UGGUUCCGGCAUCGAUGAAGAACGCAGCAAGAUGCGAUAAGUAAUGUGAAUUGCAGAAUUCAGUGAAUCAUCGAAUCUUUGAACGCACAUUGCGCCCCCUGGUACUCCGGGGGGCAUGCCUGUCCGAGCGUCAUUUGCCCCAAAUCAGCGUUGUCUGGUCUUGGGCGACGGGGCCUCCGCGCCCCGCGCCCCGAAGUCGCCGGCUGGGCCGCACCGCACCCCUUGCGCCGUGGACACGUUACACCGUGCUCGCUAGGGGGAGGUGGUGCUGGCCCCCGCCGUAAAACCUCCGCUCGUCGGAAAGGUGGACCUCGGAUCAGGUAGGGAUACCCGCUGA